rnacentral:ncRNA from 2 species
AUCUUAUCAAGAGUGGCGGAGGGACUGGCCCUAUGAAGCCCGGCAACCGGUUUUAUACACGGUGCUAAUUCCAGCAGAGCAACUGCUCUGAAAGAUAAGAA